CCCGGGGCUCAACCCCGGACGUGCAUUUGAAACAGCAAUACUUGAGUACGGGAGAGGAAAGCGGAAUUCCUGGUGUAGAGGUGAAAUUCGUAGAUAUCAGGAGGAACACCGAUGGCGAAGGCAGCUUUCUGGACCGAUACUGACGCUGAGGUGCGAAGGCGUGGGUAGCGAACAGGAUUAGAUACCCUGGUAGUCCACGCAGUAAACGAUGUUCACUAGGUGUAGCGGGUAUUAAAAUCUGCUGUGCCGCAGUUAACGCAUUAAGUGAACCGCCUGGGGAGUACGGUCGCAAGACUAAAACUCAAAGGAAUUGACGGGGGCCCGCACAAGCGGUGGAGUAUGUGGUUUAAUUCGACGCAACGCGCAGAACCUUACCCAGGUUUGACAUCCCGGGAAUUUCGCAGAAACGUGAUAGUGCCC
rnacentral:rRNA from 1 species